AGUGAACGCUGGCGGUAGGCCUAACACAUGCAAGUCGAACGGCAGCACAGUAAGAGCUUGCUCUUACGGGUGGCGAGUGGCGGACGGGUGGGGAAUACAUCGGAAUCUACUUUUUCGUGGGGGAUAACGUAGGGAAACUUACGCUAUACCGCAUACGACCUACGGGUGAAAGCAGGGGAUCUUCGGACCUUGCGCGAUUGAAUGAGCCGAUGUCGGAUUAGCUAGUUGGCGGGGUAAAGGCCCACCAAGGCGACGAUCCGUAGCUGGUCUGAGAGGAUGAUCAGCCACACUGGAACUGAGACACGGUCCAGACUCCUACGGGAGGCAGCAGUGGGGAAUAUUGGACAAUGGGCGCAAGCCUGAUCCAGCCAUACCGCGUGGGUGAAGAAGGCCUUCGGGUUGUAAAGCCCUUUUGUUUGGAAAGAAAAGCAGCAGGUUAAUACCCCGCUGUUCUGACGGUACCCAAAGAAUAAGCACCGGCUAACUUCGUG
rnacentral:rRNA from 1 species